GCCGGUUUGGCUCAGUGGAUAGAGCAUUGGCCUAAGGACCAAAGGGUACCGGGCUUCGAUUCCGGUAAAGGGUA
rnacentral:tRNA from 1 species